rnacentral:rRNA from 1 species
GACGAACGCUGGCGGCGUGCUUAACACAUGCAAGUCGAACGGAAAGGCCCUGCUUGCAGGGUACUCGAGUGGCGAACGGGUGAGUAACACGUGGGUGAUCUGCCCUGCACUUCGGGAUAAGCCUGGGAAACUGGGUCUAAUACCGGAUAGGAGCCAUUUUUAGUGUGAUGGUUGGAAAGUUUUUUCGGUGUAGGAUGAGCUCGCGGCCUAUCAGCUUGUUGGUGGGGUAAUGGCCUACCAAGGCGGCGACGGGUAGCCGGCCUGAGAGGGUGGACGGCCACAUUGGGACUGAGAGACGGCCCAGACUCCUACGGGAGGCAGAAGUGGGGAAUAUUGCACAAUGGGCGCAAGCCUGAUGCAGCGACGCCGCGUGGGGGAUGACGGCCUUCGGGUUGUAAACUCCUUUCGCUAGGGACGAAGCUUUUUGUGACGGUACCUAGAUAAGAAGCACCGGCUAACUACGUG